GAUAUUCGCCUAAUGUCUCAACUUUAAGCAAUAGAAACUGGAAGCUUUAAGCCUCCAUUUGAACUUCAUCUCAAUCGGAUAGCAACACACUAAACUUGUGCGAAUAUAACAGAGACCUUCUGAUCCAGGUGAACUCUAGGGCACAUUAGCUCCUCUCUCCCCCAUCACACCGACAGUAGAUAAAACUCUGGAGAUCUGGAAUAAAACAAACUACUGCUCCUCUCAGAAGGAAAGGGGUUAAUUAUGAACACACCUUGGAAGAUAACAGCAGAUCACAGUGGAAUUACAAACGCCAUUAAUGUCAACAUAAUUUGGUGGAUUCUACACUACUCACUCUUCCAAAGUUUUGAAAAUCCUGGAAUUAUGCAUGUUUCAAGCCCCCAAAGUAAAUAUACACGAACUUCUCAUUAAGACCCAAGAAGGCCUGCACCACAAUGGAGAAUAGCUCUUCCAGUUAAGCGUAUUCCUGAACUUGUUGGGAAGAUGGUAGGUAGCAUACUGAAUGGCUACAUGGGUUCUUCCAUCAAUAGCUCACAAAAUCCAACUGCCUAAAAUACCUUGAUAAGCACACAUUCCUACACUAUUUUAUCUUGCACAUUUUCACUUCCACUAUUCUGUUUUAACCAAAACAGUGGACUACCACUGGCCUCAGACUGACUCUCUCCAGAUGACUGGCAAUGAGGAUUCCACAGGAUGACCGCUACUCUUUUCCACAGAAGUCUUGCACUGCUGUAUUGGGACAAAGUUAGCACAAGAGUUCCAGAACUGUUUCUUUUUUCAUCCCAGGGUUCUGGCCAUCCCAAGUCACCUCAACUACUCUGUCCCACAAGCUUGUAGUCAUAGUUCAUUGGGUGCAAUUCAGUAAAGAGUUAAAGCAGCAGUAAUUGCCUGAUAUGUGUAUUUAUAUAAUCCUGUCUUUCUGCAGGUAUUAUCUGAACCAUUCCAUCACUCUAGAGCAGCUUACUUAGAUGCGUUCUAACACCUUUUUUAAAAUUUGACUUUUCCCAUAAUUCUCCUGGCCCUUCCACAAUCUUCCAGAAGCAGCUGCUUGCAAGAGCUGUAUCAGAAACUAGGAUAGUUAUUGGGAGAUCAGUACAACUACAGUGCUGUAGAAGAGCGUAAUAUAAAGAGACAGUAAAACUACAACAGUCUUUUAGCCUGAAACAUGGCCAUUGUGGGGACACUGCACCACUGAUGGUCAUGUAAGUGCAAUCUGAAUGGUUCAACUUCCUAGUGAAGACACUGCUUAAAGCCUCUGAAACACAAAAAACAUCCAAAGAUUCAACAUUUCUAUACUUAGAGGAUUGCACCUUAGAAUUUUGUCAUUUGUCAGCUCCAGGAAAAGUGACUAACAAAAGACAAACAUUUUGGAAAAUGCGUGGCCUGAUUUUCAGAGGUGUUGAGUACUUGCAACUAGAUUUCAUGGAUUUCCAUGGCAAAGCUAGCACCUCUGAUAAAAGUCAGAUCAUCCUUAUUGCUUGACAUCCAUGAUAAAUGAUCCACUCUUAUCCACUAUAAAACUGUCUUGUACUUCAUAAAACUCCCUAUACACUACCCCUCUCUUUGGUGUUCCUGUCAGAUCUUUCCAACUUUAUGGAAAGCUGAAAUUCUUCUUUUACAUAUAAUAUAUUUACAUAAAAAGUCUAAUAAACGCUUUUAAACAACAACAAAAUUCAGCCUUAUCAGUUCAGGCUGAGCAUGGUCACUUAAACUGGCCACAAAACAACAUCUUUAAAUACGUAUAAAGUAGUAGAAUGAUUUAUGUUAAGUCCGUCAUCUCCAUUCAGCUUCUAAUGGAAAAGUGUCUACAACAGGCCCAGCAUGAAGGGUGAAAAUCCAUAUUUUAGAAUCUACAUAAAGUGGGCUUAGAAGAUCUGAGCAACUUUGAGUCAAUGGAAGCACUGAAGUCAAUGAGAGGUGAACAGGUUGCGAAUGCUAAAGCACUUCUGAAAAUCAGGCCUCUUAUCCAGAUGCUUAAACAUGGAAUUAGAUGCCCAGUUUUAAAAUUCUAAGUGAUUUAACUAAGCCCAUUCAAUCAGAUUUUACAUUACCUCAAUAAUACUGGAAAUUGGGAUUUAUGGAAUUUAAGAGCAAACACUGAUGGGGAUCAAGACUCGCAGCAACACUUCCACGAGGAGACUAGAGAAAUCCUAAAAUCUUGGGUCAAACAGGGUUAUUUUAAAGACAUAGGAAUAGACAAUUUAAUGAGCAGCCUUUCAAUAAUUCAUUUCAAAUUCAACGUAGGACCCACAUGCAAUGAGUUUAACUAUUCAAAGAAUGCUACGGUUGGCCUAUAUUUAAAAAAAUAUUGGCAGGAAUUCAAGACAAGCAUAGCAGGAUGUCAUAUUUUAAGACAGAUACGGAGUAACAGUGAGGGUAUAUUUGAAACAUUGUGCACCUCUGGCUCACACUACGCUGAAUUCUAGCCAUUAAAAGCAAUCAAUUUUCUCAAAAUUUAAGGCCUGAUCCUAGAAGUCGCAGAAUUCCUCCUUCACAGAUUAUAGAAUUAGAUCCAUAUGCUCUACAAACUUGACUUUACAAAUGAAGAUGUCACAAAAUGGAUUCACUCAGCAAUAUUACACACUACAUGGUUUGCAUGAAUUAAAGUUAUUUAUUUUGUUGUUAGAUUUUUCUACUACUGUUAAAUUCUGUGGGGUAUGGUUUUAACUAUCAGAGUAUUCAGCAAUGUUAGAUAAAUAUCAGUGUAUCUUCACCGAGUUUAUCAUUAGCUAAACAGCAUAGAAUAUAGUUGUGAAAAGAAAAAAUAUUCUAAUAAAACAUUAUGAACUUUUAAAGCAAUGUCACUUAUCUAAUUUACAUAACUUUCUCAUGAAAGUUUUUUCUAAUCCUCCAGCUUCACUUACAAAGCAAGUUUUCUAUCAUAAGAGCUCAAAAUCCCAGAGGUUGCUUGCAAAGACCUAGUUAUUUUUCAGUAUCCAUAAUAAAAUACCAUUCCUAUGCAGACAGAGUAAGGCUCUGGUACCACACUGUCUAGUGUGUGGGUGUACUGCAGCACUCAAGCAAAGCCCAACUGAUGUAGCUGGAGCUCUGCAUGGGCACAGCAGUGCACCUGUGUGCUAUACAAUGUAGGAUCAGUUCCUAAAUCAUAAAAAAAACACCUUAGUUUUAUGAUAGAUUAAAAAAACCAAGAUUCAGUUUUAGUAUAUCAAACCAAAAAUCUGUAAAGAAAUGCUCAGGUGUAUUGCUGAAAGUACCAGGAGGCAGCAUUCUUUCUAAACAACAAGAGAAGCCCUAUAACAUUAUAGUAGGAUAUUUUUGUACUACCCAGACAUAUUUCAUUUACCCUAUUUUAAUUUUUUUUUCCCGCAGCCAAAAAUUCUAUAAAUAUUUUGAAGUAUAUUUUUGAUUCAGAAAGGUAACAAUAUAAUUGGACAUGUUAAAACUUCAAGUUAUCCACAGGAGUUACAUAAAGAAUACAUUACAAUGCCUCUUUAAUUACAUUAGCCUAGACAUACAAACACUACUUUUGCAAGGUAUUAGCAAGCCCUAGUAUAGAUAUUAUUUCAAUUUUAUAUAAAAAAAAUCCUGACAUUUACACCAAUCAGAUAUUAUGCAUCUUGUGUACAAACCACAUUACGUUGUGAGUAAAUGUAUUCCACUCUGACUCACUAACGAGAAGAUUCUAAUCUCAAGCAAGACAAAUCAACUUCUCAUGAACUGUUACUUCAUACAUAAUACAAAUAAGAAAUGCUUCACAUUAUAGAGACAUUUAGAUUUUCUUUAAACCUUUUUAUUUAGAGAUUUUUCUGGUAAAGAGAUAUACCAUAGGAAAGCAAUUUCACUGGCAGUGAGGUAUGUAUAUACUCUACCAAAAUACUCUUGGUUUUAACUGCUUUUAACUUUAUUUACAUAUAAAGAAAAUAUCAAUGCAUAUUCUUGAUUUAACUACAGUUUUAGUUACCCUACAUGAAUAAAAUGUUACUUGCAUACAAAACUGAUUUGCAAAGGAAUCUGAUUUACUGAUUAAGAAAUUAAAUCACGUUUGGAUGACAAUUUUAAAUGAAUAAACACAAUUAAUCAUGAUCAAGACACCUGCACCAUAUAUUCCAUCCUCACAGCACAUUUAUUUCAGUAAUUCUGUAAGUAGGUCCUUAGCAUGAGCAUAGUGUUACACAGUUUUCAUACAUAUAAUCACAUCCAAAAGAAGUUCUAAAAUUUAAAUUGUAAACAUUCUCUUCAUAUGUAGAAACAUUUCAAUCUGUGUUCAAAUUUGUUAAAAUGAUCAAAAUAUUUUAAACAGAAUUAUAAAUGAAAAUUCUAGUCCUAAACCGUGUAGUGAGCAAUUCUUAUUAGUACAUUUCUACGGUGUUAAAUAAAGUAGUAGAGGCAAACUGUUCUGUGAGCAUGUGAGACUAAGUAAAACAUCGUAAGGAAACAAACUUUAACAAAAAAUGCUUUGCAAUAAAGAAAGUUAGAUCUGAAUCUACUAUGAUACAAAAUGUAAAGGGUAAAUACCAUCUUUGUUGACAAAGUAGGAGGUAGCAUGGAUGCACCACAUUAUUGUCAGUGAGAAAUGCAACUGAAGUAAAGAAUACUUUCUUACCACAAAUAAUUUCCAGUACUAUGUACAUAUUUCUCUUACAAAUAUUUGUUUAAACAAGUUUCCCUCCACUUUUUAGUACAAAAAGCCUCAUGUAAUUAAAAACAAAACAAAACAAAACACGUACACACAUAGAUAA